rnacentral:ncRNA from 1 species
CCUCAUAUACGCAAACAUGUCAACAUGAGACUAGAAAUGCUUGGCUCCAUCAAGUUAAAAGGAUGAAACGUAGAUUUCGGCCUCAUAUACACAAACAUAACAACAUGAGACUAAAAGUGCAUAGCUAGUUGGUGAGGCAAUAACUUACCAAGGCGAUGAUCAGUAGCUGGUCCGAGAGGGUGAUCAGCCACACUGGGACUGAGACACGGCCCAAACUCCUACAGGAGGCAGCAGUGGGGAAUUUUUGAAGUUUAAACUGUCUCAA